GCGGUCGUGGUGGAACGGCAGACACGCCACUUUGAGGGGGUGGUGGGAGAAAUCCCGUGUGGGUUCAAAUCCCACCGACCGCACCA
rnacentral:tRNA from 4 species